UAAACUUCUUUUAUUAAGGACGAAGAAAGUGACGGUACUUAAUGAAUAAGCUCCGGCUAACUACGUGCCAGCAGCCGCGGUAAUACGUAGGGAGCAAGCGUUGUCCGGAUUUACUGGGUGUAAAGGGUGCGUAGGCGGCUUUGCAAGUCAGAUGUGAAAUCUAUGGGCUCAACCCAUAGCCUGCAUUUGAAACUGCAGAGCUUGAGUGAAGUAGAGGCAGGCGGAAUUCCCCGUGUAGCGGUGAAAUGCGUAGAGAUGGGGAGGAACACCAGUGGCGAAGGCGGCCUGCUGGGCUUUAACUGACGCUGAGGCACGAAAGCGUGGGUAGCAAACAGGAUUAGAUACCCUGGUAGUCCACGCUGUAAACGAUGAUUACUAGGUGUGGGGGGUCUGACCCCUUCCGUGCCGGAGUUAACACAAUAAGUAAUCCACCUGGGGAGUACGGCCGCAAGGUUGAAACUCAAAGGAAUUGACGGGGGCCCGCACAAGCAGUGGAGUAUGUGGUUUAAUUCGAAGCAACGCGAAGAACCUUACCAGGUCUUGACAUCCUACUAACGAGAUAGAGAUAUGUUA
rnacentral:rRNA from 1 species